UUUUGCUUCCUUAUAAGCAUAAUGAAAUUGUUAGAUAGCACUUGAUGCAAAAGCUGGUUGUGCUUAGUCAGUUUAGUUGCGCAACUUUCCGUUGUGCCUUUGAUCGAACUUUACAAUUACGACCUAGAAACUUCUUGUUCCUCAUGUUCUCUCGUAAUAGUUCCCUUAUCAAAGUUUGUUAUGCUUCAGGCAGGAAUUAUGCUGAAGGAUGCUGAUGCAUUGCCAGACUUGAUAGGCACUGAUAAAAGGUACUAUUUGUCAUCUUAGCCAUACUCAUAGCAUUCAGAACCGCAAAAUUUCAUGUGACGAACACCAAAAUUUGAUGUCAUUUUUAGGUUUCCAUUCGAGGAGCUUCAUAAAAUGGACAAAGCUGGACCUGAGAACAAAGAUGGUAGCGACACAGAGGACGAUGAUGAAGAUGAUGAUGGAGAAGCUGAUGAUCAGGAUGACGAUGAUGCUGAUGAUGAAGACUUUGCAGCCGAAGGAGGAGAUGAUGAUGAUGAAGAAGAAGCAGAUCCUGAAGACAAUCCAGCAUCUAAUGGCAACGAAGGCAGCGAUGACGAAGACGAUGAUGAUGAUGAAGACGAUGAGGACGGGGAUGAUGAUGAUGAAGAGGAAGACGAUGAAGAAGAGGAGGAAGAGGAGGAUCAACCACCUGCCAAGAAGAAAAAAUAAACCAUUUCCUUGUUAUGUUUAUUCUGUUUUUCUUCCAUGCUUGUUGGAGUAUGUAGUAGUAGUAGGAAGAGGGGGGAUUUUAGCUCUUUCUGUUGGAAUUAAUCAUCCUUUUGCAGACCAAAUGAACUUCUUGUCACCCUAUUUGACUGUUAGUUAUGAUAUAUAUUCCAUUUAACCCUAUGAAUACUCUUUUAACUUUCAUGCCUCUUUACCUCCGUAAGGGUAAGGUCUGCGUACACACUACCCUUUCCAAGUCAACCUGUUGAAAUUUUGUAGUUCUUGGUUUCUAUUUUAAACAUUAUAUGCUUAGCUACUGAAAGGGUGUAUGGCAUGCAGACAUUCACUCUGAUUUUCAAAAUGUUUUGACUUUCGUAUUUUGUAUUUCAUCAUUCAUGCUUAUUCAACACUCUGAUAGUGUAAAAAUCCUUUAUAUUGUCGGUAUACAAAACAUAAAAGACAAGCAAAAGUUUAUUCAAUCGACAAACGGAACACCUAACAAGAACCUCCAAUUGCAUUUUUGUCCUCAAUGACAUUUGACACUCCGACAGUAUAAAAGUAAAAGUUCUUUAUAUCGUUGAUGUACAUAACACAAAAAUAAAAGUUUAUUCAAUCAACAAAACACCUAAAAAAAACCUCCAAAUUGCAUUUUAGCAUCAUAACAAAGUAAAAACAGCAAAAAAAAACAAAAAAAAACCAAGAACACCCCCCCCCCCUUCAUAAAAUGGACAAAGCUGGACCUGAGAACAAAGAUGGUAGCGACACAGAGGACGAUGAUGAAGAUGAUGAUGGAGAAGCUGAUGAUCAGGAUGACGAUGAUGCUGAUGAUGAAGACUUUGCAGCCGAAGGAGGAGAUGAUGAUGAUGAAGAAGAAGCAGAUCCUGAAGACAAUCCAGCAUCUAAUGGCAACGAAGGCAGCGAUGACGAAGACGAUGAUGAUGAUGAAGACGAUGAGGACGGGGAUGAUGAUGAUGAAGAGGAAGACGAUGAAGAAGAGGAGGAAGAGGAGGAUCAACCACCUGCCAAGAAGAAAAAAUAAACCAUUUCCUUGUUAUGUUUAUUCUGUUUUUCUUCCAUGCUUGUUGGAGUAUGUAGUAGUAGUAGGAAGAGGGGGGAUUUUAGCUCUUUCUGUUGGAAUUAAUCAUCCUUUUGCAGACCAAAUGAACUUCU
rnacentral:lncRNA from 1 species